AAAGGGAGGGAAAACAGAGGGAUCCUGUGUCACCAUUAGAUUAAGGACUAAGGAUUAAGUUUGGAAAUACUGGUUUACCUAAACAAAAACAUCGACAGGGGAAAAAAAGGAAGGGAAAAUCGAACGGAUAAGUCUCAGGAACAACAUUUCCAGUCGUGUUCGACAUGGCGCUUAUUCGGCAUAAAUAAUUAUCUGCAACUAAAGACCUGUUUACGUUAACUGUAACACUGGACAACGGGAGCAGGUGAAGAUACGCAAGAAAGGAUGCUAAAAUUGAGAAGAAAGGGAUAGAGUGAGUGCAUGAGGAUUUAAGAGAGAGGGAGAGGUUUCCCCGGCGCACGCUUUCUUCGGCUGGAUAGACUGUUUCGUUUAGUGAAUAAAAAGUAAACGAUUAACACAAGCUUUAUUAAAACAGAUGCAAAUAAUAUAACAGGAAAAUAAAUUUAGAUGUUAGAACGAUGAAUGCGGUGUCACUCAUGUAUUUUACGCGAAAGGACCAGGGUGACACAUAGGCGAGAAAUUAUAUGAAUAUAUAUAGCCUUUAUUUUUCUGUUUAUAUUAACGUUACCAAAGGAAGGGGCGUACGCACAAUAGCACGGUGAAGUUGCGAUGUUUUGAAAUGCUAUGAAAUGCUAGGUGUUGUAGCAAGGGCAUAUUGCAUUAUUUAAAACCUCUAGCCAUUUUCAUAAAAAUACAUAUUAGGGUCAUUCGGACCGCACGCCGAGAGGAUCAUUUCUUUACAUCUGAAAACAUACUCAAUUCCAUCUAACAUUUUCGUGCAAUUUGUGUUUAUGUGUGUGUGUUCAAUAACACACACACACAGCCCGCACGCGAACAGAGCCAGACCCAGAACGAGCUCCUCCCACCCUCCUCCCCUCUCGGUUCUCUCUCCUCCUCUCUCUCCCCCUGCUCCUCUAUGCUCAGUUCGGUGUGUGUUUCCUCUUUCAAAGGGCGCAAGGGUGGGAACAAGUCGUCCAACAAAGCAUGUUACAGCGCAGACAUGACUUGUCCGUCAGAGAGCGAGAAAAUAGUGAUAAACUGCGGCGGGAUUCGGCACGAGACGUACCGCAGCACGUUGAAGACGCUGCCCGGGACCCGCUUGUCCUGGCUCACCGAGCCAGAUGCGUUCAGUAACUUUGACUAUGACCCCAAAUCCGAUGAGUUUUUCUUUGAUCGUCACCCCAACACGUUUGCUUUCAUCCUCAAUUAUUACCGCACGGGAAAGUUGCAUUGUCCCAACGAUGUCUGCGGUCCUCUGUUCGAGGAGGAGCUCGCUUUCUGGGGUAUCGACGAGACGGACGUGGAGGCUUGCUGCUGGAUGAACUACCGACAGCACAGGGAUGCCGAGGAAGCGCUGGACAGCUUCGAGACGCCAGAGCCCGACCCGCCAGAGGAUGACCCGGCGCUCACGGGUGGCGCGGACGGGGACUUGAAGAGGUUGUGUCUACAGGAGGAUGGUCGGAACCCCAGCUGGUGGAGUAUAUGGCAGCCCCGAAUCUGGAAUCUGUUUGAGGAUCCCUAUUCCUCGAAAUACGCCAGGUAUGUGGCGUUCGGCUCGCUUCUGUUCAUCCUCAUCUCCAUCUCAACAUUUUGCUUGGAGACACACGAGGCCUUCAACACCAUCUACAAUAAGACAGAGAACGUGACGGUGGGGAAUGUCACGCGGGAGGAGAUUGUGUAUGAGGUAGUGACUGACAACUGGCUCACCUACGUGGAGGGCAUGUGCGUCAUCUGGUUCACCAUCGAGGUGUUUGCCCGUGUGAUCUUCUGCCCGGACAAGGCGGAGUUCUUCAAGAGCUCGCUGAACAUCAUCGACUUUGUAGCCAUUCUGCCCUUUUACCUGGAGGUGGCGCUGAGCGGCCUCUCCUCUAAAGCAGCUAAAGACGUGCUGGGCUUCUUGCGUGUGGUGCGAUUUGUCCGGAUCCUGCGAAUCUUCAAGCUCACGCGUCAUUUCGUCGGGCUGAGGGUGCUGGGCCACACGCUCCGCGCCAGCACGAACGAAUUCUUGCUUCUCAUCAUCUUCCUCGCUCUCGGAGUGCUCAUCUUCGCCACCAUGAUCUACUACGCAGAGCGCAUCGGCGCGGACCCAGACGACCCCACGGCGAGCGCCCACACCACCUUUAAAAACAUCCCCAUCGGCUUUUGGUGGGCGGUGGUAACCAUGACGACGCUGGGCUAUGGCGACAUGUAUCCAGAGACAUGGUCUGGUAUGUUAGUGGGUGCCUUGUGUGCCCUGGCGGGCGUGCUGACCAUCGCCAUGCCCGUGCCCGUCAUUGUGAACAACUUUGGCAUGUACUACUCUCUGGCUAUGGCCAAGCAGAAGCUUCCCAAGAAAAAGAACAAGCACAUCCCGCGGGCUCCACAGCCUGGAUCGCCCAACUACUGUAAACCAGACGCCCUGGCCAUGGCCACUGCCUCGCCGCACAGGCUCAUGGGUAAUGUGAUAGGCAGUAUGGUGGGCUCUGGAAGCAUGGCAGGAGACUGUCCUCUCGCACAGGAGGAAAUCAUAGAGAUUAACAGAGCAGACUCAAAGCAGAAUGGGGAUGCUGCAAAUGCAGCUCUGGCUAAUGAGGACUGUCCCACCAUAGACCAGGUGAUGGGGCCGGAUGACAGGAGUCCGGCCACCGGUGGGUUCGGCGCAGGCACGGGGCGCGAACGUUACCCCCACGACCGGGCCUGCUUCCUCCUCAGUACUGGAGAGUUCCGCACCACAGACAGCAAUGUCAGGAAAGAAUCUGCAGUCGACAACCCAGUCUCCCCCCCAGGAGAAGAGUGGUUCAAGCCGGAAGGGCCACUGCUACAGCAGGACCUCAAUGCGAAUUCUGCCACUUCCUGGAUCAAACCAUAGUGACACAGAGAGAACUAUUCUGAAAGCCCAGUGCUUAUCAGAUAUAUGCAAAAAGAAGCAGUAACUGUGAACUAAUCCUAGAACAGAAAAUCCACUUCUUCCUUUUUCAAAUACAUUCCCGACCGAACACCUGACCCCUGUCCCCCGAAACCAGUAUCAGCUCCUGUACAUUCCAUUCGGUCUCAUCACAGCUAAUUUCAGUACUGUAUUGCCAUCUCACGUUCCCCAAACUCAUGACAUCAUCAAUCUUAUAGUUAUGCAUUAUAAAGGAGCAUUUUAGCCCCUUCAGCUCGGACCCCCCAACUACCCCCCCCUGCAGGAUUUACGGGGAUUGAACUGACGUAGCAUUCAGCGUCGUAGGUCACAAGCAUUCUUUGGUCACUUUAGUGGCUAAGAAUACAGAUUUUAGCCCUUAAAGUUUACCUGUUAUAUAAAUAUAUGAUUUAAAAGAUCAUUUUAAGGCGUUCAUUGGAAUAUAUUCUGACUAGACCGGUCAGAACUGAAGGACUUUCUGUGCUUUUGAGUGUGGCGAGUGAAAACAGUCUAUAGGUUUUUCUACUCGGGGGAGUGUGAAGGAUAAUGAUAAUACUCACUACAGCAAUGCAUGUGUCCACACAUUCUUCAAGAAAACUAAGUGCUGCAUCCUAGUGCAUCUUGUGGUUUUUCUGUGUGUAGUCUCUUUGUAGAUGUGAGUCUGGGAGGGGCCAGCUCCAUUAUACAGUAUAUCCCUUUAUGAUGUAGAAGAGAUAGGGCUGCCCCUAGUUAGCUUAGUUAGCGAAUGCCCUGGUAGGCAAAAACAAGGCUGCAUGUGACCGUGGAGGACGAUGUAAAUAAUUCUCUUUGCAUGUUAACAGCACAGAAGCUAUAGUUUAAUUGUGGCAUUUUGAAUAGGGAGAGCAGGUCGGUUAAACUACAUUACCCAGAAUCCUCUCUGUCUCUGUCAGACUUCUGCUCCCCUGUCACUACUCAGGUAUAUCUCUUUUUGUUCGUCUGAACAAGUGCUUCCAAAAUGAUGUCAUUCGAAACAAAGAGAGAGACAGAAAGUGAUGAUCUGUAAACAUCCCGUCUACACGUGCAUCAAAGUGUCCUUGUGCUUUGUGUGCCCACCCGUUUCGUUUUUCUCACCACUGUCAUUUCUUGUCACUUUAAUUUGUCUUCAUCAACAAACUCUACUGCUUCCAAAUAACAACCAAAAAAGCCCAGAUGACGUAAGGAAAAAUUGUCCGCCAUUUCAUAAAACUUUUCGAACACGGUUCGCCGUAAGUGGAUCACAAAAACUGUAUGUGGAAUCAGGACUCAACCGAAUGGCGAGAUGAAAACAUGAGGGACAGAUUGUUUGUUUGAGUGUUAAGAGGAUUUUCGACAAAUGAAGACAGGCGCCUUGAAAUGGAGGACAGUUUGGGGAAGAAAGAAAAUAAAAGAGGAGGAGUUGCGCUGAACGCUUCUCAGUUGCUGAGCUUCUGAACUGCCCUCUUUCACUUCAGAAGAGCACCCCAACUUCAAAGCCAGAAUCAAACCCCAGGAGUCGCCACAAGAUUAAAGAUGACUCAGAGAAGGCGAAAGAGAGAAUGAGAGACGACUGAAGUGCUGCGCUAAACCCACUUGAAGAAAACAUUGUAUCACUCAUCUCUCCAUUACUAACCCCAGACUAUUUCAGCCUAGCGUAGGUGCAAUAACCUGAUGAUGAUUCUGUGUCCUGGGAGGAUGUGAAACUCAGAUUCUUCCAGGAUCAAAAAGGGCGAAACUCUGCAUAUAAACAGUAGUAUGUUCUGGCACGACCCUUCAAAACCUUUCUCUAACUACCUAAAGAGCAAGGUGGAAAAUGGAUGCAAUUUUAAAGGGACAGGAACUAUUUUUGUGGAGCGUGAAUCCUUCCUUAACCUGUACCACCAAGUUAAAUGCACCUGCAACCGUGUCCCCUCCAACCCUGAUCAAUCCAGUCUUAGGUUCAAGUAAGGUGUGGAAAAAUACCCAUAAUGCUCUUUCAACGCUAUGCAAUUCAACCACACAUUGAUAUCGACAGACCACAGUUCAUCCGAUGCUUAAACGGAACAGUUUAUCACCCAGACACUUUCCUCUCCUUGGCUUUUUGGAGAUCUUGCACGUGCUUUAACAGCAUCUUCAGUAUUCCUACUGUGUAAACUGUUUUCCAUCCAUCUAACUAAAAAUCUUAGUGUCCUUCUCAGGGCUAACAGAAAGGAGACUUUGUCCGCUAUAAAGAAAAGAAUGUCAGCCUCUCUUUUCUCUCUCUCUCUUUCUCUCUCUCUUAGUUCAGCUCUGCAUCUCAGCAUUUCUGUUCCACUGUAGAUGAACUGCAUGGCAUGAAUGAAAUGGAAAAAAGAGAGAAGGAUCAUAUUGAGAGGAACCUGAUAUGACGUCUAACGUAGGCAGGACUUCUCUGAUUGCACAGUGAAAUGGAUGGGUGAAUGAAACUCGGAUCAGGACCGUGGAUGAAAAAUGCUGGUCUUGCACCUUCAUGUGAGGAACAGAAAAUAUGACAUAUGUGCAUGACACCUGUUGACGGACAGAGGGGUUUUACGUGGACUGGGUGAACUUUAAACAAAAGAAAGACAAAAAAAAGAACGAGAAAAUAAAAAAUGCAUUUUUCUCACUUUGUUUACCAGCAUGACUAAACUGCAUGACUUCUGUAAGCCCUGAACCCCGAAUUAGAGGGCUUGAAAUGACUAAACAACAAAAUCAAAUGGAAAUAAUAAAAGUUUAUGCUAAAUGCUACUAAAUUUAGAAAAAAAAGAUUAUAUUUAAAAAAGAGAGAGGCUAUAUUUUGUUUUUGAAUAAAAAAGGAAUAAUGAAUAAAUAUAUAGGAUUGCAAGAUUCAUACAGUUUUGUUGGAUAACAAACCCCACAGAGUCUAGCUGAAUAAUGAGAUGAACUUCUUCAACGACCGCUUCUUCCAUGGCUUCAAAAGACAUCUCCUCCUUUCUGAUGUUUCAUUCUUUACUUGAACUCUCCUGGCUCUCUGCUCUGCCCGUCACUUUUCUGUAGUCUCUUGUCAUGACCUCCAUAAGUAGCACCACAGCUUUUUCUUUUCAUGGUUUUCAUGAUUUGUUUCAUUUUCUCAUUGAGGUCAUGAAGGGUCCACAUGAAAUGAUUUUGUGUUUAUUUGCAAUAUAACAAAUCCACGUCUAUUCUGUAGGUAAAUCAAAGCUUUAUCCAUUAAUGUGAGCCUGAGUCCACCCAAAUAUUAAUCUUAUAAAUAUCAGCUUUGUGUGAACUUUAAGACUCUGAGCACUUACAUUGCAAAGCACUAUUGUCCUAUCAAGCCCUAACAUCUAACAUCAAAGGUGCUCAGGAGGACAAGUUGAAACCAGAAGAUGGUUUUGUAGUGCUUGUUUUGUUUAGAAUGUUUUCAUCAGCAUUUAACAGCACUUUUUUGUUGGGUGGUACAAAAUUGUUAAUGUUUGCAAGAUGUCGACGGAGUGUUAUUUCAGUCAUUUCAUUUUGUUUGUUCGAUUGUUUUCUUGUAAAGAUUCACAGGAGUUUGUUACAAUACAAACGUAACACACCAGAACGUUCCCACCAAUCCAGCACCAUUCAUCCCAUACUAAAAUGGAUUUAGGAUUAAACAGCAUUGUUCUGGGAGGUAGCAGGUCAUAAUUUCAUUAUUACUGUUUUUACAUCAUAGUGGUGUAAACAUGACAAUGUUAUCAAACCUGUUCACUUUUGUUUGUUUCACAAACAAGAGAUGAUGAUGUUGAACUGUAUUUAUCCUAUUCUGUCCAUGUUCAUCAUCCAUUCUGUUCGAAAUGUGAUGCAAACUUAGUUUAGCAACUACCUAUGCAACACCUAAGCAAGACCUUAGCAGCUUCCAUACAUGUCAUGUCCUCAGGCCAGCUGGCUGGUGUCUGUUUACUGGUGCUGUGUGUCCAGACAGUGGGGUAACGACACAGACGCAGCUUCUUCACCACAUAGACAAGGGCCAGCAUUGUGCAGUGUACAUCGAAGCUAUUUCUUCAACCACUUCAAAUGUUAGCAACUGCUCCAAGUAGCUUGAAGGUGCGACAGACGUGUAGCUUUAGUAGCCGUGUUGCUUUUAGUGGUGCACUGAUUUUCCUUCCUUGGGUUAUCUUUUGGAAACGCUUGGAGGCCCGGUUUGGAGGCCCGGUAUAUAGGCAACGCAGGAAGACAUUCAUGCACUUUUCAAAUUAAAUUGUACAGUUAUAUGUAAGCAUAUAUAGUCUUGUCAGUGGAUAUGUAGGACACGUUACCAAAUCUUCCAUGGUUUGAAACCGGUUUAUUUUAUAUGUAGGAAAUGUUUAUUUGCAUCUCACACGCAUUUGGCAAAUGCUUAAGAUGAGAUGUGCCUCUCUGGUCGUUCAUAAUGUAGAAUUGACAGUUUCACAAAUAGAUAUUACCGAGCAGGAGCAAUAAUGACGGAACGCCAUUUGUUUCCAAUUGUUUAGUGUCAUCGUUUUUGGAAUUGGGGGACAUGUUCAUUUCAUCCCUUAUAUUAAAUCCAGUGUGCCUGAAACUGUUCCCUGAAUGUUUCUGUAUGUAAAUUGGACACAACCUCUCUCUCGAGUAAUUCCAGUGUAUGUGAGAAUGUGCCCCGUGUGUUUUGGCCGUACAUGCACUUGCUGAGUGAGCUCACAUCUCCUCGAGAACAGCUAGACACUUGCAUACCUUUACUUGAAACCCAAAUACAAAACAUAUCAGAGAGGAGCAGAAUAAAGCCAGAAUCAAUCUUCACUCUUUUCCUGUUUGCAUCCACCUUUCAUUUCUCUCUCCUCUCUUCCCUCUCCUUCUCUAUUUUUGAGGAAGAAGCUUUUUUGCAUCUCGUGUUCUUGUGUUUUUCUAUCCUAUUGUUUGAAGUUGUUUGAAGAUAAUAAUGCAUGCAUGGAAUACAAUGAGGACAUAACUUGUGAAUAAUUUGUGAAUGGACCGAAUGAGGUAACCGUCUCUUUCGCCUGGGCUCUCUUCUCUGCUGUAUCUCUCUCCAAGGCACCUAUAGAGAGAGAGAGAGAAAGAGAGAAAGAAAGAAAGAGAGAGAGAGAGAGAGAGAGAGAGAGGGAGGGAGAGAGAGAGAGAGAAAGAAAGAAAGAAAGAAAGAAAGAGAGAAAGAAAGAAAGAAAGAAAGAAAGAAAGAAAGAAAGAAAGAAAGAAAGAAAGAAAGAAAGAAAGAAAGAAAGAAAGAAAGAAAGAAAGAAAGAAAGAAAGAAAGAACAGCUAAACAC